rnacentral:rRNA from 1 species
UACGUAGGGGGGCAAGCGUUUGUCCGGAAUCAUUGGGCGUAAAGAGCGUGUAGGCGGCCAGAUAAGUCCGCUGUGAAAUCUCGAGGCUCAACUUCGAGCUGUCGGUGGAAACUGUCUGGCUAGAGUCCGGAAGAGGAGAAUGGAAUUCCUGGUGUAGCGGUGAAAUGCGCAGAUAUCAGGAAGAACACCCCGUGGCGAAGGCGGUUCUCUGGGACGGUACUGACGCUGAGACGCGAAAGCGUGGGGAGCAACAGG